AAGAAAUUUGGUGCGGACAUGAGAAUUGGCACGCGUUCCACGCUGGAACGCAUGCCAACUCGGGGAGCAUGUGACCGCGGCUGAUGGAGCCCUUGUGGCGCAUUGUUUGCGCAAAAUUACCUCUCCUGAAGACGCGUAUGAAAACGAAACCAACCGAACCGAACCGAACCAGAUGAAAGCUACUCACAACAUGCACAGAUGCAGCACCAGAGCAGGCGACUCCCUAUCCAGAAUGUGAACAGAAGCGCCCUGAGGAGCUGGAGGCUGGGGCUUAAGAAGGUUGAAGGUUCCACGAAGUAUGGACUUCUGCGUUGCUCCCGGUUUCCGGAGGUGUUAGCCAUGUUGGCUUGAGUUCUACGGCGUGAUGGACCGGUUGUUUAUCAUUCUCGGGUCCAGUUCCAGUUUCCGGUUUCGGUUCCAGUUCCGGUUAUGCAGUUGGUGUUUC